AGUGAACGCUGGCGGCGUGCUUAACACAUGCAAGUCGAACGAGAACGGAUUAUAGCUUGCUAUAAUUGUCAGCUAAGUGGCGCACGGGUGAGUAAUAUAUAGAUAACCUGCCCUCUAGAAAGGAAUAACAGUUGGAAACGACUGCUAAUGCCCUAUAUGCCUUUAAUACAUAAGUAUGCAAGGGAAACGCUUUAGUGCUAGAGGAUGGGUCUGUAUGGUAUCAGCUUGUUGGUGAGGUAAUGGCUCACCAAGGCUAUGACGCAUAACUGGUUUGAGAGGAUGAUCAGUCUCACUGGAAAUGAGACACGGUACAGACUCCUACGGGAGGCAGCAGUCGGUAAUAUUGCACAAUUGACGAAAGUCUGAUGCAGCAACGCCGCGUGGAGGAUGACACAUUUCGGUGCUUAAACUCCUUUUAUAUAGGAAGAUGAUGACGGUACUAUAUGAAUAAGCACCGGCUAACUCCGUGCCAGCCGCCGCAGUAACAC
rnacentral:rRNA from 1 species